rnacentral:rRNA from 1 species
UACGUAGGGGGCUAGCGUUGUCCGGAAUCAUUGGGCGUAAAGAGCGUGUAGGCGGUCCGGUAAGUCCGCUGUGAAAGUCGGGGGCUCAACCCUCGAAUGCCGGUGGAUACUGUCGGGCUAGAGUACGGAAGAGGCGAGUGGAAUUCCUGGUGUAGCGGUGAAAUGCGCAGAUAUCAGGAGGAACACCAAUUGCGAAGGCAGCUCGCUGGGACGUCACUGACGCUGAGACGCGAAAGCGUGGGGAGCAAACAGG